rnacentral:rRNA from 1 species
GACAGAGGGGGCAAGCGUUGCUCGGAAUCACUGGGCGUAAAGGGCGCGUAGGCGGGAUGGCAAGUCGGUCGUGAAAUCUCUCGGCUCAACCGAGAAACGUCGGCCGAUACUGCCGUUCUUGAGGGAUGCAGAGGAGACUGGAAUUCCCGGUGUAGCGGUGAAAUGUGUAGAGAUCGGGAGGAACACCGGUGGCGAAGGCGGGUCUCUGGGCAUUUCCUGACGCUGAGGCGCGAAAGCGUGGGGAGCAAUCCGG